rnacentral:rRNA from 1 species
CCCUAAAAAGGCCUUAAAGUAAGCAUAAGUAUAUACAUAAAAACGUUAGGUCAAGGUGUAACCYAUGGGGUGGAAAGYAAUGGGCUACAUUUUCUACUUUAGAAUACYACGGAYAUUCCUAUGAAAACAAGAAUUAAAGGAGGAUUUAGCAGUAAACUAAGAAUAGAGAGCUUAGUUGAAAAAGGCCAUGAAGCACGCACACACCGCCCGUCACCCUCCUCAAAUGCAACUUAACAAC